AACCUCCGCAAUGUGAGAAAUCGCGACGGGGGGAUCCCAAGUGCCAUUCUUAACGGGAUGGCUUUUCAUUAGUGUAAAGAGCUUUUGGAAUAAGAGCUGGGCAAGACCGGUGCCAGCCGCCGCGGUAACACCGGCAGCUCUAGUGGUAGCAAUUUUUAUUGGGCCUAAAGCGUCCGUAGCCGGUUUAAUAAGUCUCUGGUGAAAUCCUGCAGCUUAACUGUGGGAAUUGCUGGAGAUACUAUUAGACUUGAGACCGGGAGAGGUUGGAGGUACUCCCAGGGUAGAGGUGAAAUUCUGUAAUCCUGGGAGGACCGCCUGUUGCGAAGGCGUCUAACUGGAACGGUUCUGACGGUGAGGGACGAAAGUUAGGGGCGCGAACCGGAUUAGAUACCCGGGUAGUCCUAACCGUAAACGAUGCGGACUUGGUGUUGGGUGGCUUUGAGCUGCUCCAGUGCCGAAGGGAAGCUGUUAAGUCCGCCGCCUGGGAAGUACGGUCGCAAGACUGAAACUUAAAGGAAUU
rnacentral:rRNA from 1 species